UACAGAGGGUGCGAGCGUUGUCCGGAAUCACUGGGCGUAAAGGGCGCGUAGGUGGCGGGCCAAGUCCAUGGUGAAAGCUCGAUGCUCAACAUCGAGUCGGCCACGGAUACUGGUUCGCUCGAGCACUGUAGAGGCUAAUGGAAUUCCGGGUGUAGCGGUGGAAUGCGUAGAGAUCCGGAAGAACACCGGUGGCGAAGGCGGUUAGCUGGGCAGUUGCUGACACUGAGGCGCGACAGCGUGGGGGAGCAAACAGG
rnacentral:rRNA from 1 species